rnacentral:rRNA from 1 species
GACCAAAGAGGGGGACCUUCGGGCCUCUUGCCAUCGGAUGUGCCCAGAUGGGAUUAGCUAGUAGGUGGGGUAACGGCUCACCUAGGCGACGAUCCCUAGCUGGUCUGAGAGGAUGACCAGCCACACUGGAACUGAGACACGGUCCAGACUCCUACGGGAGGCAGCAGUGGGGAAUAUUGCACAAUGGGCGCAAGCCUGAUGCAGCCAUGC